rnacentral:rRNA from 1 species
GAUGAACGCUGGCGGCGUGCCUAAUACAUGCAAGUCGAGCGAACAGACGAGGAGCUUGCUCCUCUGACGUUAGCGGCGGACGGGUGAGUAACACGUGGAUAACCUACCUAUAAGACUGGGAUAACUUCGGGAAACCGGAGCUAAUACCGGAUAAUAUAUUGAACCGCAUGGUUCAAUAGUGAAAGACGGUUUUGCUGUCACUUAUAGAUGGAUCCGCGCCGCAUUAGCUAGUUGGUAAGGUAACGGCUUACCAAGGCAACUAUGCGUAGCCGACCUGAGAGGGUGAUCGCCCACACUGGAGCUUAGACACGGUCCAGACUCCUACGGUAGGCCGCAGUAGGGAAUCUUCCGCAAUGGGCGAAAGCCUGACGGAGCAACGCCACGUGAGUGAUGAAGGUCUUCGGAUCGUAAAACUCUGUUAUUAGGGAAGAACAAAUGUGUAAGUAACUAUGCACGUCUUGACGGUACCUAAUCAGAAAGCCACGGCUAACUACGUG